UCAAUGGCAGACCCAAAAAAGUAUCUCUCAAGAAAAAAAAUUAACAAUUCAAUUGAUGAUUUAUACAGGAGCGCCAUCAGAAAAAUUGUGCAAAAUUUUUUCUUGAUGAGUUAACUACAGUAAAUAAAGUUCUGAUAAUGGUUAACAUAGAUAAGGACUCUAGGAGAUCAACAUUUUAUAAUUUAUAAAAAGAAUAUGAUAAAAAACGAGGAAGGAACAUUUUGUUAUUAGAAAAAGCAGAAAUAUUGUAUGGAGGCUAGAUUAUCUUAGAAAAAUUAAGAAAUUUCGUUAACAAAAUAGAAUUUACUAUCCUCGAGGCAAGCAUUCUCGGAUGGACUUUCCACCGGAUUAACAAACCCAUCAGAUGGUUUUCUGCCAGAUGCUUUAUGGGUAUCGAAAAAAAAAAACCGGAGACUAUCAGGAGAAAACGGACGGUGGACGAAAAUUAGUUCUCGAAAAUUGUACCAAAGCUUAAAGAGAAUUGUAUUGUCGUAUUAGACAAUGCUUCGUAUCACACGAGGAAACUUGAGAAAAUUCCAACAAUAACAACAAGCAUGUAUUCAAGAAUGGCUUACUUCUAAAAAUAUAUUUUUUUAUGAAAUGAUGGUUAAGGCAGAUCUUUUAGAAAUUGCCAAAGAGUAUAAAAAUAGAUGUAACUGAAACAUUAUUGAUUAAAUGGCCAAAAAACAAAAUAAAACCAUUCACGUUUACAUUGUAUGGUUUUGUUAUAAUAAUUGUGCAUAAUUAUUUAUAAUUUAUAUCAUUAAUCUGCUGUAUGAAACCGCAAAUUAGUUCUCAAAUGCGGUCCUGUUACAUGCUCGACUUUGGCGUUUUCAGCUCUGAUCACGUGCACUAUGCGUGACCCUUAAGUACUACCGUUCAUAAAUAGUGACAUAUCUAAUACUACUGGGUCAAAUAGACCCAAUUUUGAUUUUUUGUUUAAAAAAAGUGGAAAUUUUUUUCAAAAAGUUUUAUUGAAAAAAAUGCUAUUAUAAUAUACGAAAAAACUUAUUUUUUAAUUACAUUAGUUAAAUACAAUUAGAACACAAAUUUCUAGUGCAUUGCUUGCAUAUUGGUAAAUGACAUGUUUCACAAGUAGUAUUGGUUUUUCUGUCAUUUUUAGACGGACAGAUUGCACAUCUCUUUCUUUUAGAAGCUAAUCCUCUUUGUUGAGGUUCUGGACGUGUAAGAUUUGCAUUACCCAGUAAGCUCUCCAUUAUAACUUUUAAACUGCGAGGCAGUGUUUUACUUAACCUAUUUUGGAUGUGUGGCACGCAUAAAUCACGGCCUAAUUUUUUGAUGAACUCGGAUCUUGACAUACUUUUCUGAGCGAACUGAAAAAUAACUCUACUAUUGACUCCUGUUAUGUUCAGAAUGACAUGAAAAAUAGUCAUCGGCCAACGUCUUGUUCUACGGGAAGUGGAGUAAUUCGCACAUUUCUGAUCUAAAGAGUCUACUCCCCCUUUAGUUCUGUUGUAGAAUAAGUCUCUUUAUCUACUUCAUUGUCGUGAUGUUUACUGGAGAUGAGAAUUACGGAUUUUGAUUUUUUUGGGACAAACGACACAAUGAUUUCAUGUUUAGUGAAUCCAAAUAAACUACUAUUGACUUCUCGGUUAGCAGCAGGCAUGAACUCUGAAGGGAUGAAUCUUUUGUUUUUUUUUUUCACUGUUCCUACAUACGUUAAAUUCAUUUUUCUCUCUCAUUAACCUAUAAUGUUUCUGCCAGUAUUCUUCAAUGGUUCUGUUAAUCGCAAUACCACUUCAGUUGGAUGAGAAAGUUUUUUCGUUAUCUGGUUGCCUACUGUUAUUUUCGGAACUUUGUUAGGUUCUACAAUAAUUUUGCCGGUAUAAACUUCUGCGUUUAACAUGUAGUGCGUCUGACAAUCCGUGAGAAUUUGAAUUUUCAAACCAUAUUUUGCAGGUUUAUUAGGCAUAUACAUGCGAAAUGCGCACCUACCUCUAAAAGGUACCAGCAUCUCAUCUACUGUUAAAUUUUCGCCUGGACUAUAAUUUUGUUUCGAAUUAGUCACAAAUUUUUCGAAAAUAUCUGAGAUUGGUGCCAAUUUAUUAACUCUUCUUCUUUCGACUCUAGUGGUGUAAUCAUCGAAACGAAUACAGCACAGGAGAAAAGAAAAUCUGGCUAAAGACAUAGUGCAACGAAAUAAAUCUCGCCCUGUGCCGUCCGUUGCCCAAAGAGAUCUUAAGUCUUCAUGUGCCGAUUUAAAAACUCCUUGAAGAUAAAGAAGUCCAAAGAAUGCUACAAUUUCAGUUAUGUUGGAGCAUACUGUUGUCGGGAAUUUUUAUUUCGUUUGAAUUUGCCAUAUUUUGAAGAAACCAUUUCGAUCCGUUGAUUUGUAUAUUUCACAAUAAUUUCAAUCAUCGUACUGUCAAUAAAAUAUCUCCAACUCUCUAGAGGAGUAAAUGGUGGAUUCUGACGAACAUUUCCUUUCAAGGAAGGUAAAACUCGAAGUAAGUUUGGUGCUAAGGUUUUUCCUCUUUUUGGAGCUUCUUUUGACCAUUUCGUUUUAUCUUUCUUUCCAUACCAAUAAUUUCUCUGUUGAUCAGUUCUUUCUCCUUCAAUUUCAAGUAAUUCAACACAGUCGUCUUUCUGAUUCGAUAAAAGUUCGUUAUCACUAGGCACCCAGUCAUCCUCACUAUCUGUGUUGUGUUCACUUAACAGUUCCACAUCUUCUUCUUCCUUGUCACUUUCGUCACCAUAUCCUAAAAGUUCUGUACAUGCCUGCAAUCUAUCUGUUGUCAGUGACUCUUCGCUGGAUUGAUGUUUAACCUGUGACUCAGCGUGGUUUUCUGAUUCCAUGUCUUCCCAGAAAUCAUCACUUUCCACUAUUUCUAACAGUUCUUGAUCAGAAAGUGGAACGUUUCUUUUGUGACUCAUUUUCUUGAUGUAAAAAAACUUGAUUAUACGAAAAUAACCGCGAAACAACCGCAAAAAGAAUAUAAUAAUAGACUACACUUUUCAAAAUAAAAUAACGUUUUUCAGUUACGAUGAGAAAUGCUUAGUUGCCAUGUUUUGAUAACUACACAGGGUCAGAAUGACCCAAUGGUAGUACUUAAGGGGUGAAUAUGUUUUCAUUUACUAUUUUUCUUCUAUAAACUUGGACACGUCAAAUAGGAACAGAUUUAUGGAGAUAUUUUUUGCCAAUCUAAUCUAUUUAACGUUAACUAAGUAGAAAUCUAAUUAGUUAACGUUAAUUAGAAACUAGAAAUCUAAUUAUUUAACGUUACUAUAUGAACCCCUGUAAUUUCGAUCUAGGUUUUCAAAUGUCAUGUUUUUGCAUAUUAUAGUGUUUUCAGUUUGUCGUCAUACGAAGAAUAAAAGUGGAAUAACUUUUUGUCUCAUUUCGCAUAGAAUUGGAAAAUAGUUGACAAAUUUCUGAUCUAUUUAGAACUAUCAAUGAAACUUUUAAGCAAUAUUACUAACUAAUUACAUAAAUAGAAAUUUUUUUAUUAAAUAAAAAAAAUAAUGUUUACAUUGUAUGACGCAAACUCCAAUUAUCAAGAUUACGAAAUUCUCAAUAUAUUUCGUAUUUCUACAGAAUCAAAAUACGCGUAUUUCAUUAAAAUUGACUAUUCAGUAAAAUUUAACUCCGAUGCUGCAUACUGGUUUAAUUUUUUCUAUGGAUUCAUAUACUACUUACAUACUAAUUAUUACCUAUUACUAUUACUUAUAAUUUUGUUACUCAUCGUGCUUUUCCCCUGUAUAUUAAAAUUUUAUUUGUAUCUUUAUUUAGUUAUUUUUGUGUUUGUUUUUUAGUUUUCACAAGCUUUUGUCUACAAAUUGUAACAUUUUUUUGACAAUAAAGUAUUUUUCUCU